rnacentral:rRNA from 1 species
GUGGGGAAUAUUGGGCAAUGGGCGCAAGCCUGACCCAGCCAUGCCGCGUGAGUGAUGAAGGCCUUCGGGUCGUAAAGCUCUGUGGGGAGGGACGAACCAGCCGGGCGUGAACAAUGCCGGGCCCUGACGGUACCUCCUUAGCAAGCACCGGCUAACUCCGUGCCAGCAGCCGCGGUAAUACGGAGGGUGCAAACGUUGCUCGGAAUCAUUGGGCGUAAAGCGCACGUAGGCGGCUCGACAAGUCGGGUGUGAAAGCCCUCGGCUCAACCGAGGAAGUGCACUCGAAACUGUCAGGCUUGAGUAUGGAAGAGGGUCUCGGAAUUCCCGGUGUAGAGGUGAAAUUCGUAGAUAUCGGGAGGAACACCAGCGGCGAAGGCGGAGACCUGGGCCAAUACUGACGCUGAGGUGCGAAAGCGUGGGGAGCAAACAGGAUUAGAAACCCCGGUAGUCC